rnacentral:rRNA from 1 species
AUUGAACGCUGGCGGCAGGCCUAACACAUGCAAGUCGAACGGUAGCACAGAGAGCUUGCUCUCGGGUGACGAGUGGCGGACGGGUGAGUAACGUCUGGGAAACUGCCCGAUGGAGGGGGAUAACUACUGGAAACGGUAGCUAAUACCGCAUAACGUCGCAAGACCAAAGUGGGGGACCUUCGGGCCUCACACCAUCGGAUGUGCCCAGAUGGGAUUAGCUAGUAGGUGGGGUAAUGGCUAGCCUAGGCGACGAUCCCUAGCUGGUCUGAGAGGAUGACCAGCCACACUGGAACUGAGACACGGUCCAGACUCCUACGGGAGGCAGCAGUGGGGAAUAUUGCACAAUGGGCGCAAGCCUGAUGCAGCCAUGCCGCGUGUAUGAAGAAGGCCUUCGGGUUGUAAAGUACUUUCAGAGGGGAGGAAGGCGGUGAAGUUAAUAGCUUCACCGAUUGACGUUACCCGCAGAAGAAGCACCGGCUAACUCCGUGCCAGCAGCCGCAGUAA